GGCGUACUUUUCUCCGAACAGGAGCCUCG
rnacentral:sRNA from 1 species